rnacentral:lncRNA from 1 species
CAAAGAUCCGGAGGAGUUCAGAAGUUCAGGAAAAUAAAGGAGGAUUAUCGCUGAAGGGUUCUGUGAAGCAGAGAGAAGCGACCCAAACGGACUCCCACGGACACAGAGGGAAGACCCCAUGAGGACACCAUGAGAGGCAGCCGUCUGCAAGUCGAGGAGGAAGAACCCCCCACGGCCGGCCCCACGCCCUCGGGCUUCCAGCCUCCAGAACUGUGAGAACAUACAUUUCUGUUGUGUAGGCCGCCCAGUCUGUGCUGUGUUGUGGCGGCUCUAGCAAACUCUGCAAUGCACACACACACACACACACACACUAAAGUGUGUUUGUGUCCAUUUCUGAGGAUCCCAGACACCUCAGGACACAGAUGGUGACGGUAGUUCGAGGUAGGAAGAAGGGUGCGUGCCAGGCGGGGGGUGAGGCGUACGUGCGUAAGGCCCCGCGCGUAGGGACAGUGAAGCAAGAAGAUGUGGAUUGUUUUUUAAACUAGACCUUUAACUGCCCCCCCGGGAUUUCCUCCUGCAGGGCUCCGCUUUCCCGUUCCCGUUCUUCUCCUGUGAGCAGGGUCACUCACCUCACUGACCGCGAGGGGCCCCCAACUUGCCCGAGCGCAACAUCCCACCCAGCUCCCGUCACUGGGGCCAAAGGCCUUCCCACCACAAAAAGGGGCCCGAAAGGUGCCUUUCGGAGGGAGAGUGAUUCUGGGUUCCGGGUGCUGAGUCCAACAUACUUCACGGCCAGUCUGACAGCAGGGUUGCUGAACAUUUUCAUGGACUGUUUGGGUUCCUGGGUUUUUGAAAGGAAGCCAUUUGGAAGGAGCGUCAUGGUGACUUUGUGGCAAGGUAGGGUGUGGGGAGGCCUUUGGCGGUUCCAGGUAGUUCCCCUGUGAGCAUCUUGGUUGCAAGCCUUUUUGCUGGGUAACUAAUCGACUGUAAGGCAAUUUUCCCAUAAAAGAUUAAAAAAAGAAAAAAAAAAGCUGGUUGACCAUUGGGUUUGACAGCGUGUUGGUCUCAUCAACUGGUUUUCUUCGUUGACGCAGUACUCCCAUUUUUAUUGUAUAUAAAUCUUAGCCCUCAUAAUGGUCUAUACAGUCCUGCGAAGUUUCGAACCCACAUUUCCCAUAGAACUUUGGACCAUUUAUCAGUGGACAUCUGACAAUAUGCCAGGAACAAACAACCGUGUAGAGGCGUUCACCGUGCAAUACCAAACUCAGGGACAAACCUGCAUCGAAGUAUCUGGAAGCAGAUACCUCUCUUGAUGAAGAAAGACAUUUUAGCAAAAAAAAGAAAAAGUACGCUGUCAAACCAGGACAUGAAUCCACAUACAGAAAAGAGAGAGAGAGGAAGAGAGAGAGAGAGAGAGAAAGCAUAAUACUCUGGAGGAGAGAUUUUGAAGACAAGUGCUUAGAUACAACCCACAAAGUAAGAUCGGUUAUUUGUGCUGGCUUGGCGUGAAUCUACACAUAUGUUAAAUGCAUUCAGAUAUUUUGUAUUUUGCAAUGAAGUCUUUUU